rnacentral:rRNA from 1 species
GAUGAACGCUGGCGGCGUGCCUAAUACAUGCAAGUCGAGCGAACGGACGAGAAGCUUGCUUCUCUGAUGUUAGCGGCGGACGGGUGAGUAACACGUGGAUAACCUACCUAUAAGACUGGGAUAACUUCGGGAAACCGUAGCUAAUACCGGAUAAUAUUUUGAACCGCAUGGUUCAAAAGUGAAAGACGGUCUUGCUGUCACUUAUAGAUGGAUCCGCGCUGCAUUAGCUAGUUGGUAAGGUAACGGCUUACCAAGGCAACGAUGCAUAGCCGAUCUGAGAGGAUGAUCGGCCACACUGGAACUGAGACACGGUCCAGACUCCUACGGGAGGCAGCAGUAGGGAAUCUUCCGCAAUGGGCGCAAGCCUGACGCAGCCACGCCGCGUGAGUGAUGAAGGUCUUCGGAUCGUAAAACUCUGUUAUUAGGGAAGAACAUCUGUGUAAGUAACUGUGCACAUCUUGACGGUACCUAAUCAGAAAGCCACGGCUAACUACGUG